rnacentral:snRNA from 1 species
UUAUUGCAUGAGGGAUGGGAAUGGCAUCCUUUUCUUUUCCUCCUUUAGAAAAGAAAAGAUACAAUGGACAGCCCGACCCUUG